GAUCCCUGCCUACCUGAGGCCUUCUGAAGCAAAUGAAGCCUCCAGGCAGAGCACACUGCUUUUCCACAGCCACUGGGAACUUCUGCAUACAGCUCAGCCUCUGCCAUCCAACCAAAAAGUACUGUGAGGUGAUCUUGGGCCAGGCCAGGCUCAAUCACCACAAAAGCAACCAGAAAAUCCAUGCAUUCUGACCAGGAACAGUUGAAAAAGUGGGGGAAGCAGAGAAGCCCCAGCUAGCAAUUCCUCAGGACUAUCAUAAUUCAACACUGAUUACAAAGAGCUACAGAAAGGUUUGCUCGUUAGAUUUUGUGAAACAGUAAAAAACAGGCAAAGAAGAAAGCACCCCUGACUGCACAGUCACAGCUUGUAAUGUAGCUAACAAUGCUCGGGAUCCAGAAGUCACUGCAGGCAGUUCUGCAAAUGUCAGCUCUGUGUGCAGCACAAAGCUAAGCUUCCUUUGGCCCUCCUGCCCUCAGCUCAAGCUGUUACCUGAUGGCUGAGUUGGUGUUACGGACUUCCUCCUCCUCAUCAUCAUCGUAGUCAUCUUCAUCAUCUGAGUACUGCUGGUGCUGUCGGACUGGGACCCGGCUGCGACCCACUCCUGCUGCAAGGUCUUCCUCCUCCUGCAAAACACCAUUGCUGAUGCCGUCUCCUACAGCUGGGUAAGGGGGAAGAGCCCAGCUGACAGCAUCUGUGGUCCACUCAAGCACCAGGAACCUGAGAGCAUCGGCAGCCAGAAGGAACCCAAGCUUGCAGUUUAUGUGUCUAAGCCCUGCUGGAUUGUGUACAGCCAGGUCAGCAGGAAAAAAGGGAGCUGAGCUCUGUUCUUUUGUCACCUACAUCCUUCAAGCCAGAUCCUUCCUAUUCCUGCCCACAGGAAGCUCUUUCCUUUGGGCUUUGCUCACACAGCCUUUAUUUUAUGCUCAGAUCUGGUGUGUUUGUUUCUACUCCUGCACAGCCCCUCUUCAUGCCAGGACCCAAGUUCCCAGAGCAACACAGCGAACCACAUCAGCUAAGGGACCCACAUUAAAGCCAGCUUCCUUUGUCAGGCAUUUACAAUACAACUGAUCAACUGGGCUUGGAGAAAAGAAAGUAAAGCUGACCAUAGAAGUUCCUCAGGCUCUAAGUAAGCCAGAGAUUGUCAUCAGCCAGUGCCAACGACUCUUUGCUCCAUAGCAGGUUGGAAUGGCUCACAGCACCAUGGGAA